rnacentral:lncRNA from 1 species
UUUUUUUUUGUUCUUUUUGUGUAACUUUUUCUUUCGGUUUCUACUUUUCUGGGAUUUCUCAUCAGUUUUAUUCGUGUCUUUUUAUUUUAUUUUUCCCCUUUUCCUUGUUUUGCAAUACAUGUCUGCAUUUUUCAAGACAUGUUCUACAUUUUCUGUACACAUCUGGCACAUUUGUUUGAUACAUGUUGAAAAAAAAAUUAAACAUGAUGAACAUUUUAUUCAAAUGCAUGUUAAGCAUUGUUUCAAAUACACGUAGCAUUUUUUUAAUGAUAUGAAACAUUUUUGAUACGCGAACAUAUUUAUCACUGUAUAGAAAAAUUAAAAGUGUCCCAUACAUAUUUUUAUGGUACAAAAGAUUCACUUGAAUGAUGCGGCAAAUUUUUUGGCACUGUGUAAACAUUUUUUUCAAAUGCGUGAACAUUUUAUAAAACUUGCUUUAACAUUUUUUAAAGAGAAAAGUAUACUUUUCGUCCCUUAAUUCUUGGCGGAGUCUAGAUUUGGUCCCUCAACUUCAAAACCGGGCAACUUGCAUUCUUCACUUCUGAAACCGGACAAGAUUCAUCCCUAAUCACGGUUUUGACCGGUUUUGGUGCUGUCUCACCCUGGUUUUGACUGUUCUGACCCAAAUAUGCCUACUUUUUCCAAGUCCACGCAAUGUUUUCAAAUUCGGUUACUUUUUUCAAAUAUGCGAACCUUUUUAAAAUUUUUGUACUUUUUUUAAUCUGCGUACUUUUUCCAAAUUCAUGUGCUUUUUCAAAUAUGCUUAUUUUUUUAAAGUUCAUUUAAUUUUUUAAAAUUGAUGUACCGUUUCAUAUUCGAGUACAUUUUUUUGAAAGAGUUCAUGAAUUUGAAAAUUUUAUGCGAACUUGAAAAAAGUACACGGAUAUGGACUUCUUUUAUGCAAAAAUAUGUGGAAUUCAAAAAUUAUUUCAACUUGAAACAAGUACGUGAAUUUCAAACAAAGUUCAUGGAUUAUAAAUGGAACAUGGAUUUGAACAAAAAUGCGGACUUUGAAAAGCAUGUGGAUUUGAAAUAAGUAUGCAAAUUCAAAAACAGUUCAUGGCUUUGAAAAAUACUUGGAUUAGAUAAAAUUACACAAAUUUGGGAAAAUACAGGGAUUUGGAAAAGUACGUAAAUGUUAAAAGAUCACGGAUUUGAAAAAAAAUGUGAAUUUCAGAAUAGUUUGCUGAUUUGUAAAAAGUAUGUUUAUUUUUGAAAUAAAUACGCGACCUUGAAAAACUACGCGAGUUGAAAAAUGUACGUGGAUUUCAAAAAGUUCACGGACAUAAAAAAAUUACAGGAAUAUGAGUCAGCACCAGUCAAAACCGGGGUGAGUCAACACCAAAACCGGUCAAAACCGAGUCAAGGGACGAACCUUGUCCGGUUUCGGUAGUUGGAGAUGCAAGUUGUCUGGUUUUAAAGUUGAGGGACCAAAUCUAGACUUCACCAAAAAUUGAGGGACGAAAAGUAUACUUUUGUGCAAAGAACAUUUUAAAUUUUAAAUAUAAUGUUUUUCUUUUUCAAUAAAAAAAAGGGAACCAACACUUAUCCCAUCCUAGGCCGGCCUAAUGACGAAGCAGUAGAGGCGAGCAUGUUCUUUUUCUCGCACGAAGCGCAAGAAAACCGAGAAGAAACAGUGUCACGCCAAACUGGACCGGCGGCCCUUGACUGCACCCACCGCGUCACAACAACAGUCUGAAGCUAAUCGUCAUAGGAUGCCUCAAUAUUUAGGCCCAACAUACUACGAAAAAUAACUCUUCGAAUAUAGCAAGUCAGAGAUGUGAACAUCUAAUACUAUACAUCGAAAAAAUAGAAUAAAAGGGAUGAUGUACAAGUCGGCCGACUGAAAACUGGAAAAAGUCCGCCAUCUCGUCCACCAUUUGAUCAAAGCAUAAUCAAUUGUUGGAUUCCCUCAACACUAUAAUUUCCCGCUUCGACCUCUCAAGAGUACUUUGCAACAUGAGUCAUGUUGCGCUCGAGAGUAUACAACAUGACCCAUGUUGCAACCACGUGGGCCAAUCUGCAACAUGGGCCAAGUUGUGCUUGCUUUGUAAAGGUUUGGAUGGGUUGGCAACAUGAGCGCAUUGGUCAGCUUGCAGGUGGCAGUCCCUUACGAAACCAAAGAUGGGGAGUAGAGGGACAAGACAAAUAGCGGACGGUUCAUUGAUGAUUUGAGCAAGAGUGAUAGUGCGCCAUGGGAGGGGGUGGGAUAAGCUAGAAGUUGGGUUUGACUCGCGUGGAGCAUCAUGGACGGGAGGGUCAGGGGAAGGACAUGGCACGUGUCGCUUCAAGGAGGCGGUCGACAUUUCGAGUGGAAUCACCCGGGUGAUUUUGAGCAUUUCCCAAAAAAAUAUCAGAGCCAACUCGAGGCUUGGCCUGUUUUGGGGUUUUCCCCUGGAAAUAUUUAUGUGAUGGUAGCUUUAUGAAUGAUUAUAUGUAUAUCAUUACCACAAGACCUAAAGUUUCAAACAUCAUGUUGUAAUUAGAGCCACCAAGAACACACUCUGUCUUGUGUUCUUAUGACUUCGAGAAUCUCUGUUGGUAGAUGCUUCAUUGGAAAAUAUGCGUGGGCCGAAUGUUUAUGCACGUCCUAAAUUUAGGUCUCUUUGAUCCAAAGGAACUUUGUAGGUAUUUUGAGGGAUCAUAAUUCUUAGGAUUUUUUUAGGUCAUUUGAUCUGCAUGAUUUAAUCCUAUAGGGUUUGUUUCUACGGAUCACUGUGUACUACAUUACAUAUGAAUUUUAGCAUCCACUCAAACAUUGAAAAUAAUCCUUUGUUGUUUCUGUAAUGCAACUAAAAGAAACCAAAAUCACACUGGAUUAAAAUAUGCAUGGAUUGUAACCCUAUUGCAUUUUUGAAAUCCUGCGAAUCAAAAAGGCCCAAAUAGAUUGAAUCCUACACAUGCUAUUUGGGCCUUUGGUGUCAAGGAGACAUGUCCAAUGUUUUAGUUCUUACUAAACACCAUAGUUUCUCGUACAUAGGUGAUAAGGGCAACAAGCUAGCAAAAGAUCAUUGGUAUCAUCUAUACCAAUAUAAAAAAGAGUGAGUUGCGUAGAUCCAACAAGUCACACUCAUUCAACCACAUAUAUCCACUGGUCUAUGCCGCUCUGAUGUUUAGCAUUAAAUAUAUUUAGCACUACACAUGUUUAGCAUCCUCCACUAAUUAAUAUCGGGCCUAAUAUCAACAUGCAUAAUAUUUUAUAUCUGUUUCAUAUUAAUGUGGAAUAUCUUGCCUAAUAUUAACGUGAAUUGCAUAUACAUGAUUACUAGUUAUUCCAAGUGUACCAGAGCAUUUUAUUAAUUCUAAAGAGUAUUAAUGAGUCAUUGAUGUCAUUUCACAACAAUUGAUUACAUGAUAGCCUAGAUCGAUAAAGAAGACAAACGUAAACAUGGGUCAUGGUGGGGAGCUAGUGGCAAAUUGGCAAUGAGCUCCAAGUCCCCACUACUUCCUAUGACUACAACCAAGAGGACAUCAACACCUCCGAUGAUCAUCAGGGCGAUUCCAAGGUUCGACUGUAGGCUGAGGUGAUGCUAGAGGAACAAGAGGAAGAUGGUUCAGAUCAUACAGCAAAGUUGGUGGUAAUGGUACGUAGGGAGGGCCCUCGCCCCCUCCCCCUCUAAGGCCUCUCUCUCUCUCUCUCUCUCUCUCUCUCUCUCUCUUUGCCAAAUGAUCAGCUCUAUUAUAAAAGUUCAUCGGAAGUACAGACCAUCUCAAACAUAAUAAAAAUUGCAUCGAGAUUCUAAGCCCACCGAACGACCACUACUCCCUCUAUUUAACUUAACCUUUAUUGGUAAUAAAUUAUCUCACUAUAAUGAAUAACAAAAGCGUUGGUUACAUAAGUGGGUGUAGAUGUGGGUGUCAAAACCAAAAAGUGCAUUUGGCCACCGGGUUCAUAGUAAGUCUUUACUUUUUUUUCUCUAAGACCUUAUUUACACUUAUUAAAAAAUUCUACAAAAGUGUGCACAUAUGAAUACACAUAUACUACAUAUGUACAAAGCUUCAUAAUAAUAUAUUUUCAUAUGUGGUCUACACAAAAAGCAAAUGCAUAUAUCAAAACAGACUUUUUGUUGUUGUUUUUGGGUCAUAAUUUUGUUUGUUCUGUGCAAACCUACAAUUUAACAAAUUAGUAUCUAAUGAAAUUUUACGGAUAUGUAGUGAACAUGUAUAUAUUUUCAAAGGAAAAUUGGUUUUGUUUUAAAACUUUAAUUAGCAUUUUUAAUGCAUUUUUGGUUGUGUUAACGAAGUUUGGCCUCAAAAAAGAUUUGGAGGAAGUCCUUUAGCAUUGUCUAUGUGUAUAAUACUUUUUCCAUAUGGUUCAUUUAUGUCAUCUUUUGCACAAAACGAAAUUGUGAGGCAUUUCUUUCUUCUUGAUAACCUAGUGUGCAUCAUAACAUGUCGCACUUUUUUUAAGUGUGCAAGUUGCACCUUAAACUUUACCAACAAAAUAUGGUGCAACUUGAAAUGAUCCACCAAUAAAAUGGCGUGAAUUUUCAAUUUCAUUUCAAACUGCCCACAAAUGUGAUCUCACUGCCUCUUUAAUUUGAAGAAAAAAGAAGCUUUGAGUCUAGAGGGUGUAUCCUUCAUAUCUUAUUUAUAUUAUUAUUUUUCCCGACGGGGGGGGGGGGUAUAUUUUCAUCUGGGUAAUUUUGAGGUCAUGUUCCCUUCAACACUACUGGAAACCGAUGAAAAAUGGACAAUGAUGAAUACCAUAAUACUGAAUAUUUGAACUAUGAAGCAUGUAUAGUUUUUGAAUUUUCAUUUGAACCUAACAUUUGAUUGUAUUGAGUCAUUUUCUUAGUUUGCUUUGUGGAAAUUUGGUGGUAUGUAGCUAAGUAGUUCAGUUGAUUAAGUGCUUCCUGGAUUGACAACCAUUGCAUUUUCUUUAGUUGUCUGACAGACUGUCUUUCCCUUUGUUAACUGUAAAAAUAUACCUUUGAAUGCCCCUGGAUUAAUUAUUUAUAGUUGUUUGUUAACAUUUGAAGUUGGAACUUCAAUUCCUUUUAGACCUUAUACUCAUUAUAUGAUACAAAAACAAUAUGCAAAUUUUCUUGAAUGAUGGGUACACCCAUAGGGUUCAUGCAAAUGCAUAUGAGAAAUCAUAGAAUAUAGGCCUAAUUGAUAGUAUGAUAAUCUCCAACAUAAAAAUGUGUGCCCUUUAGUUGCAAGGCCUACAACUAUGUUAUAGUAUCCUUUUCAAACAUACUCCCUCCGUUUCUAAAUAUAAGCCUUUGUAUAUAGGUGUAUUUUAGAGUGUAGAUUCACUCAUUUUGCUUUGUAUGUAGUCCAUAUUGAAAUCUCUAAAAGGGCUUAUAUUUAGGAAUGGAGGGAGUAUAUGCUAUCUAAUACACUGGAAAACACGAGAUGUUAGGUACACUUCUUCAUUAUCCUUCAAAAUUUGUUGAUAUACUCCCGAUAAUAUCUAUAUCGCCUUCUAUUUUUCAGUAUUUUUAAGUAAAUACUUCUGGCAUGGGGGUAAGUCCUCUAGGUGAAAGGCCACAAGCUUGGUUCUCCCAAAAAGCCCCUGGCUUCGGGUCCUUCCUUGACAUAAAAAGUCGGGCCUUUGAGUUUCUUCCUAUUUGCCUAGCAAUUCAGUUUUUAUUUUAAUCUUUUCAGUAAAAAAAGUAUUGCGCUUUGACAUACUUCUUUUAUUAUGUGCAUUUGAUAAGUAAUUUUGAGCUUAUGUUCUACUAUGUUAUUUCGUCCAGGAUUGACAUGCCUUCAAAGGGGGCUGGAAUUUGUUAGUUUUGUUUGAUGAUGUUGCAAAGCAAAUGAUAUGUUACUUGGAGCUUGUUUUUUCCAUGGAGUAAUGUAAUGUUAACCAACACUCUGGCCAAAAUUCACACAUCAAAUGAACUAUAGUAUCCCGCAGCAAUGCAUGGGGUAUCAUCUAGUUAGAAAAGUUUUGAGGUGUACUUUCUGUCAUCAAAGAUGCACCACACAUGGUGACAAUAAAUGUGUCCUUUAUAGUUUGCUUCUACGCAUUACUUCCCUUUAUGUGAAUAUAACCUUAUUGAUAUAGUUUUGUUAGUUUAAUUUGAAAUUCACAGCAUACAAAAAUGACAUAAAUAUAUUGUCGUGACACGGCAUGCCACGCCGGGAAGGCUGGUUUCUCCUGAGGAUACAACCAAGAGGACUCCGACACCUCUGAUGAUCAUCAAGGUGAUCCCAAGGUUCAACCAUUGGCUGAGGUUCAUUGAGGAUGCCAGAGGAAGUGAGGAACGAGAGGAAGAUGGUUCAGAUCAUACAACGGUAAUGGCAUCGAUAUGUAGGGNNNNNNNNNNNNNNNNNNNNNNNNNNNNNNNNNNNNNNNNNNNNNNNNNNNNNNNNNNNNNNNNNNNNNNNNNNNNNNNNNNNNNNNNNNNNNNNNNNNNNNNNNNNNNNNNNNNNNNNNNNNNNNNNNNNNNNNNNNNNNNNNNNNNNNNNNNNNNNNNNNNNNNNNNNNNNNNNNNNNNNNNNNNNNNNNNNNNNNNNNNNNNNNNNNNNNNNNNNNNNNNNNNNNNNNNNNNNNNNNNNNNNNNNNNNNNNNNNNNNNNNNNNNNNNNNNNNNNNNNNNNNNNNNNNNNNNNNNNNCACUAUAAUGAGUAACAAAAGCGUUGGUUAAAUGAGUGGGCGUAGAUGUGUGGGUCAAAACUAAAAGGUGCAUUUGGCCACAGGGCUCAUGGUAGCUUUGUACUUUUUUCUCUAAAAUCUUAUUUACGCAUAUUAAAAAAUUCUAAAAAAUCCAUAUAUGUAUACACAUAUACUACGUAUGUACAAAGUUUCAUAAUACAGUUAAAUACGCUCGAGAUGCUAAAAGUUUCUUGGCAGUUCACUUUAGUCCUACUUUCAAAAUGCAUCUUUAGGUCCUAAUUUUAUAGUAAGUGGUUCACCCGAGGUUCUUUUUUUCUUUGCACGAGCGCUCGCUGGCCUGCUCAUGAGGCGCGUUGACCGACACCACGUCAACUUAGGGGCCACCAGCUGACUAGGAACUUUGCAAAAAAAACUCCUGAUCUAUUCCCCUCUCAUUAGUGGUCCUUCUCCCCUUUCACCCUAGUCUGGCAACACAGGAGGCAAUCGGUGGCGGAGGCGACGACGGAUUUCCUCUUUGUGGCGGCGGCGGUAACAGAUUUCCUCUUUGCGGCGGCGACAUGGGUCGAUCUGGAGGGUAAUGCGAGUGACAUGCAGAAGAAAAAAACGUUGACUCUAGAGGGUGCAUCCUUCAUAUAUAUAUAUAUAUAUUAGGCCGGACAGCGGGGGGGAGGGGGGUGUUAUAUUUUCAUCCGGGCUACUUUCUAGAAUUCAUAAGCAGACUUUUAUCCUAUUGUUGUACUAACAACUUGCAUACGUAGCUUCUUUUUUCUUAUAUAGCAUUGAAUUAUUGCGGUCUUGUAUUGCCCAGUGUUUAGACUUAAUCAAAUGGCACUAUGACAGUGACCCAACAUGACAAUCAUUCACAUAUCGGUUAAAGAAGGUUGGCACAAGAAUUUCCAUGGGAAUUGUUUGUGUGUCCUACACUUGAGAUGACGGCUGGAGUUUGAUUGAUUCAACUGAAUAAAAACAGGGGGGCUUUGAAACGUUGAUCCAUUCUGCCAGUGAGCUGGCAAAAGUAAAAUACAGCUGAAGAAAAACUUAUCCUGCUCACCAAGCUGCUCUUUAAAAUGUGGUCUUUAGCAAAGUCUUCACUUCGUUUCUCUCUGCAUUUUCUUCUAAAAACCAUUGAUCUUGCAAUUAUAUAUAGUUUUUUUGGUAGGUUUCUAGUGGUCCAGGUUUAUACUGAAAACUUUCUUUGUAAGGAAAAUAUUUAGUCGGCACGGUUCCCGAUGUCUCCAUUGCUUAAUUGACCAGCUUAAAAAACAGAAGAAGAAAAAUAGUGUGACCUUGAGUGAAAAGGACAGGUGAAUCAACAUCCCGGCCGUCGAUCAAAUCGACGGCUGUGAUCGUCACCAGCCUAGUUGACUUUGCUAAAAAAAAUUAUUCUGGUAGUGCUCCACCUCUCACUCUCGGCCUGAAUAUUAUACCCGCGCCAAUUACUUCCUGCACAAGUGAAGGUCCCAACGAGAGAGACUAACAAUGUCGCAUAUGCUCUGGUCCAUCCCUGUAUAAAGUCGCCGCGAGAUCCAGCAGGAACCUUUUCCUGCUCCGGCCGCCAUUGCCGCGACCUUGCUCACCUUGCGCAAGCUUCUGCAUGCGCUUGCAUGGUGAAACUCUUCUCCACCUUGUCCAUCUCUUGAUGUUCAACCCGAUCUAGACUAGAGCUAUUUGAUUCCAUUGCACCACCAAGAUUGUAUUCUUGGGUUCUUUGUCCAUGGAGGGGGUGGAGGAGGCCAACCGGGCGGCGGUGGUGAGCUGCAAGAGGCUGGUCGCGCGCCUCUCGUUGUCCGCCGGCGACCCGUUCCGGCUCGCCGCCGUCGCGGCCGAGACCGAAGAGGCCGUGUCCCGGUUCAGCAAGGUGGUUAACAUCCUCGGCAAUAGGGUUGGCCAUGCGAGGGCGAGGGUCGGCCGGAGGAGCUCGCCGCCGGCCGACCCGAUUGCGAGGUGCCUCCUUGAGUACCACCCUCCCCCGCCGGUGCCGUACUGCCCACCUGCCAGUGCCCCCCAACUCCAUGGGAGUAGCAGUAGCACUCCUGCGCCGCCGCCGACGCCGCUGAAGCAGAUGCCGGUGCCGGUGGCGGCGGCGGCUCCCUGUGCCGCCGGCAACGGCAAGGUCGUUGCACCGGCGGCCAAGGGUGCUGCGGACAGGGACAUGUUCUUCCAGACGCCGCUCCUGGAUUUGAGUGCGUGCAGCAGCGUUACUCCCGCCUCCAUUGCCGCCGCGCAGAUCAACGGCUCGAGACUUUCCGCAGCUCCGGCGGCCAAGGCUCCAGACAGGGACAUGUUCUUCCAGACGCCAAUCCUGGAUUUGAGUGGGUGUACUCCCGCCUCCAUUGCCGCCGUGCAGAUCAACGGCUCCAGAGUUUCGGCAGCUCCGGCGGCCAAUCCUCCUCCUGCCCCUCCACCUCCUCCUCAAAUCCAAUUCCACCAUCAGAUUCCGCAGCAGCAGCAGCAGCAGCAGCCGCAGAAGAGGAUACUCGAGCAGCAGCAGAGGCCGGCCAGCAGCGACAACAAGAGGUUCCAUUUCGAGCCGAAGCCGGCGAGCGAGAAGCCGUUCCACAUCGAGAUCCCGGCGGCGAGGAGCGGCAAGGAGCCGGAGGUGAUCACCUUCAGCUUCGACAACUCGGUGUGCACCUCGUCGGCGGCCACGUCCUUCUUCACCAACAUGAGCAGCCAGCUGAUCACCAUGUCGGAGACCUCCGCCUGCGCGCCGGCGUCCAGGAAGGCGGCGCACAAAGCCGACGAUGACGGCAAAUGCCACUGCCCGAAGAAAAAGUCGGUGCCGGUCGCAUGCGCGCGCCAUUGAUUUAUCUAGCUCUGCCGAUUGCGUGCGCCUUUACUUUACUUACAAUCGUGUGAUUGGUUGGUUUGCAGGAAGCCGAGGGAGAAGAGGGUGGUGAGGAUGCCGGCGGUGAGCGACAAGGUGGCCGAUAUACCUUCCGACAGUUACUCGUGGAGGAAGUACGGGCAGAAACCCAUCAAAGGCUCUCCACACCCAAGGUAUAUUAUGCUCCAAUCUUGGUUAAUUAGUCUAGCUCUCUCUCUCUCUCAUGUUCAUUGUUAUGUAAUGUCACCAAGUAUUAUCCAUGAAUGAAACAAACUUAUUAGAAAUGUCAGUAAGAGGUUGUGGGCAUGCACCGUAGCCGUGUCGAUCUCAGCAUUCAUUGGGCGUGCAAGCAUGCACUUGGUGCUGAGUGAGACAUUACAAUUGGACAUGAUCAGGUGGUAAUAAAUUCAGGCGGGUAUGAAGUAUGAACUUGUUGUUGGUUAAUUGCAGGGGAUACUACCGGUGCAGCAGCAUCAAGGACUACCCGGCGAGGAAGCACGUGGAGCGGUGCCGCGGCGACGCCGGGAUGCUCAACGUCACCUACGAGAACGACCACAACCACGCGCAGCCACUCGACCUCGCCACGCUCACCGCCAACUCCGAAGCCUGACCGAGGCUGCCGGUGCCAGAAGAACUCUGAAUUUCUAUGCCAUGGAUGGAGCAUGCCAUUCAGCCUGACCAAAUCUGAAUGCAAGUGAAAAUUGUAUGAGGAAGGCGAAGAUUUCGCCUACGCGUCUUUCGCAAUGUAUAGUGAGCACUUGAUUGUCCUUUUGGAUUGUAUCCUGUCGAAAAAUCGCUCCGUGCAAAUGCUUGUUAAAUUUCCUUGUAGAACUAGUACUAGCUUUGCUUGUUUUGUUUUCAGUGUAGCUUUGCUUGUUUAACCACGGUGAAGAGAUCACAAUUCAUGGCAUUGUCCAGCUUGUCACAUACUUAUGACCUUGCCUAAUGUUCUAGUAGACGUGCUGCUGUAUGAACAACUCUAUCUAUCAAGACACCAAAUCUUGCAUUACAAUUACAGGAAGUCGGAAACUAAAAACCUCAUCUCAGAAGUACUCCCUCUAGUGAUCUAAACGCUUUUACAUCUCUUUACGGAGGGAGUGCCUAACUAUGGUGCGCAAAUCACAUGUUCAAAGCUUUUUUGAGCUUGACACAUGACAUGCCAUCUUUCCUAACGUCAGAAAGUAAAGGUUGCACAUAUUAUCAUCGCAGAAACUAAGAGCUCAUCUGACAAGAGCUAUUCAGAAUUUCAGAUGCCGCUAUUAGACGAACUAACGUGAUGUUCAGCGUAUCUUCUGGAGCUCGCUUGUGCGCAUCAACGACAACGCACGCACGCACGCACGCUCGAGAGAUCAAGCCAAUAAAUGGGAUGAUUGCUUCAGAUAUAUUCCAAAAACUGUCAUGAACCAACCAGAUAGAUAGAUCAUCAUGAUUUAUGUGUACAUACCUGCCUGCCGAUCUUCCAAAAUCCAGUCCAGUGGGAUGGCGAUCUACUCGCCUGCUAAGCUGCUGCUUAGGCUAAGCCUAAGCCUAAGCCAACUGUAAACCACCCGAACAAGUAGCUGCAAAACAUUGACCAAAACCUAGUUUAAUCCACGCCUGGUGUCUCUCGCCCUCUGCAGCUGAAGCAUGCGGGUGCUAGUCUAAUCUGGAGCCACAUGAGGAGGAAUCAAGAGAAUCAUGGUGGCAUUAAAUGCGAGCCACCCCCACGAUUAGCGGCGCUAAGCAUGUGCCGCAACUGUAUGUCUGUCAGGGGAGGAGCUGGCCAACGGUUAUGUCCACCUGGCUUUGCCUAUUAUUAUUACAAGUGUUAUUACUACUAAUUGAGGCACUUGAUUAGCAUUUGGGGAGUGUCAUGCGUGCGCAUCAGAUAUCUUGAACUUAGUCGCCUAGGAUGGGGAAAAUGAAUGUGGUUGAUAUCUCUAUCCGGAAUUGAGAUCAUAACCAAUAUCGGAGAUAGGAUCAUGUGUGUACAGUAUGUAUUCUCUGUAGAUAGACUGUCCAAGGAAAAGAGAGAAGGCAAAUAAUGCGUUUCAUUUUAGGAUGAUAUGCCGAAUUUUAGAGGGGUGAGACAUGGUGACCCCCUUUCCCAUUUCCUUUUUAACAUAGCUGCCAACUGCUUGCAGAGAAUGAUUCAGUUAGCCAAGUCAAGUGGUCAGAUUGUGGGCCCGAUCCCCCACCUAAUUGAUAAGGGAGUUGUCAUUUUGCAAUAUGUUGAUGAUAUUAUCCUGUUCAUACCGGAUGAUCUGGAUAGUGUUAGGAACCUCAAAGUGUUGUUGUGUUUCAUUGAACACAUGUCAGGUUUGAAAACCAAUUUUUCAAAAAAAGUGGAGUCCUGAUGGUGCUACAGGAUGAUGAUAAAAGGCAGAGUUAUGAUGACCUAUUUAAGUACAAAUUAGGGGCCUGGCCUAUCAAAUAUCCAGGGGUUCCUGCUUGUGGGAGUAGACUACAUGUUGCUGACUGGAUUCCUGCUGAAAAGAAAAUCGUGAAGAGAAUGUAGGGCUGGUAUGCUGGAAACCUGUCCCCUGGUGGCAAGGUGACUAAAAUCAAAGCUUGUUUAACCAGUGUUUUAGUUUACCAUUUCUUCAUGUAUAGAUUCCCUAAGACAAAUAUAGGGAGGGUGGAAAAUCUAUUAGAAGGCUUUUUUGGCAAGAGAAAAGCAAUAAGUCACUGGGUGCGAAGGCAUGUUAUUUGUAGGCAAAAGAAGAAAGGAGGCUGGGUAUCCACAAUUCAGAGAAAUUCAAUGUCAGUCUCAUGUGUAAAUGGUGAUGGAAUCUGGAGAAUAAAGAAGGUAUGUGGCAGAAUUUAGUUAGAAAGAAGGAAAUAUGAGUUAAAAUUGCUAAUGAUUCUCCAUGCUGAGUUGAUUUGAUGAAACUAAAACACAUCUAUAUAAAAGGUAGAAUGAUGAUUGUGGGUACCCAGCCUCCUCAAAAGACCAAUUGAUGAUGGUGUGGAGAAACCUCUUUAAAAGACCAAUUCCCUGGGCUUUUUGAAAUCGACAAAGCUAAUUUCCUGCCGGCAGGAAAUCUGCAACAGAUCCGAACGACCCCAUCGUCGUCGGAUCCUGAUCGUGCGGCCGCCAACUUGCGCGAGAAAAAGAAGGGGCAGGACGGGAUUCGAACCCGCGACCUCCUGCAAUUGGCCCACCACGGUAACAAACUCACCCUGACUUUGUUGCUGUCGAAAGCGCCCAGGCUAUGAAUAUAUUGCGUAGUGGCUCUUUGUUCAAGAUUUAAAAUGUGAAUGACUCGCUAACUUUGAUUGCGAAUUUAGUGGGAAGAAUCUGAAGACUAUGCCGUUGACUGUCGCGAUUUUUCUCUAAAUUGGAUCUGUCAUUUUUUUUUUUGGAUUCUAGAUCUAUUGGCACGCCCUCAUUACAUUUUUAGUCAAAAAAAAUCAUGCUAAAUAUGGGAUUUGAACUCACGCCUAGCAACUAAUGUGAAACACACACUAACCAGCUCAACUGGACCAUUUGUUGCAAAAAGUAUGCACGCCAUAUUAUUUGACCAUUCCAUGUUGCUUUCUUUUCUUCUUUUCUAUAAGGAGUUGAUCAAACAUACCCCGGUAACUGUUAUGUGAAUAACAUGGUCACUCACACAUCGCAAACCCGAUAACUUAUAUAUCCCUGUCCUGAUAACUUUGGCGACCGAAGGGGGAGGGGGGAGUUGACGAAUUUUUGUGUGAAUAGCAUGAUAACUCACACAUUGCAGACCUGAUAAUUUAUGCNNNNNNNNNNNNNNNNNNNNNNNNNNNNNNNNNNNNNNNNNNNNNNNNNNNNNNNNNNNNNNNNNNNNNNNNNNNNNNNNNNNNNNNNNNNNNNNNNNNNNNNNNNNNNNNNNNNNNNNNNNNNNNNNNNNNNNNNNNNNNNNNNNNNNNNNNNNNNNNNNNNNNNNNNNNNNNNNNNNNNNNNNNNNNNNNNNNNNNNNNNNNNNNNNNNNNNNNNNNNNNNNNNNNNNNNNNNNNNNNNNNNNNNNNNNNNNNNNNNNNNNNNNNNNNNNNNNNNNNNNNNNNNNNNNNNNNNNNNNNNNNNNNNNNNNNNNNNNNNNNNNNNNNNNNNNNNNNNNNNNNNNNNNNNNNNNNNNNNNNNNNNNNNNNNNNNNNNNNNNNNNNNNNNNNNNNNNNNNNNNNNNNNNNNNNNNNNNNNCGAGGAGGGUGGGGGGAGUUGAUCAAAUAUCCCCUCGGUAGCUUUUGUGUGAAUAGCAUGGUAACUCACACAUCGUAGACAUGAUAACUUAUGUACCCAGGUCCUGAUAACUUUGGCGAUGAGGGUGGGGAGGGGGGGAGUUGAUAAAACAUCCCCUCGAUAACUUUUGUGUGAAUAGUAUGAUAACUCACACAUCGCAGACCUGGUAACUUAUGUACCUAACCUGAUAAAGAAGUCAUAGAGGAGUCCCUCUACACAUUCACACGUAUAGUACAUCAUCAUUUAUGCAGUGAUUUUUUUUUCAAUAAAAUGCCUUUCUUUUUGUCAUCAGACAAUGGUGAAAAAGAGUUUUAAAAGACUUGUUUUCAAGUAUUGAAUCACAGCCUGGGUUGGUGUUAUGGUUGUCGGUCAUGGUAUUAGGUGUUCCCUAGCUAUUUGAUGCAGGUUCGAAUCCCAUGUAGCGCACUUUUUUUCUCAAUUCCCCUUUUUUUAUUAGUGUCAAUCGGGGGUGAACGGGUGACACUUGGGAGAUGGCUGACUAAAGACAGUUGGCAAAAUUUAGAAGGAAAGCCAGUGGGAUUACAAUGACCGAGGCCAAAGGAUCUGGACUGGUGACCCUAAUUGAGGCUAUAUGCUCAAGAUGACACUUCACUGCCAUAGCUUGGGUCUUUUGGAAGCUUGUUUUAGGGCUUGUUCUGAUUACAAGAUUUUUAUGCUUUACUGGGCAGAUCUUCAAAAUGCCAAAGAUCACAAAGCAUUCAAAAUGAUAAAGAUCAAGGAGCGGCUGCUAACUAAUGUGUUGCUUUUGCCAGAUUAACGGUUUGUCAAGCGAAUAGUGCAGAAUAUCAUCCCAACCACCGUUCACAGCCUGAUGACUAAAACGAUAAAUCUGAUCAAAAUUUAGAAGAGCACACAAAUCGCAACAGAUGACAACUUUAAGGAGAGAAACAUGUUCGAUCCUCCUCAUGAUAACUUCAAAAUCUGGAACUGGAUUAGUUCAAGGUUCAAAGGGAGCUGCUCCACCACUAGACUGACAGACGGUAUAUCAGGUGCUACAUUUGACUAGGAUAAGAACACUGGAUUCCAGACAUCUCAGACAAUUUUCCUGACCAUAUUCUCACUUGAGAGGAAUGAACCUCGACGAGUGGGUGGCACCGAUACCAGGCCUCCCGUGCUUCACCGGCUUGUACGACAGGGAGAACUCUGCCAGGUAGUGCCCAAUCAUCUCCGGCUUGAUCUCCACCUGGUUGAAGCACUUGCCAUUGUAGAUGCCCACGACGCUUCCGAUCAUCUCAGGCAUGAUAAUCAUG